GUAGGUGGCAAGCGUUGUCCGGAAUUAUUGGGCGUAAAGCGCGCGCAGGCGGUUCUUUAAGUCUGAUGUGAAAGCCCACGGCUCAACCGUGGAGGGUCAUUGGAAACUGGAGAACUUGAGUACAGAAGAGGAAAGCGGAAUUCCACGUGUAGCGGUGAAAUGCGUAGAGAUGUGGAGGAACACCAGUGGCGAAGGCGGCUUUCUGGUCUGUAACUGACGCUGAGGCGCGAAAGCGUGGGGAGCAAACAGGGAUUAGAUACCCUGGUAGUCCACGCCGUAAACGAUGAGUGCUAAGUGUUAGGGGGGUUUCCCGCCCCUUAGUGCUGCAGCUAAACGCAUUAAGCACUCCGCCUGGGGAGUACGGCCGCAAAGGCUG
rnacentral:rRNA from 1 species